UACUGAUUUUUCUUAAAUUGGCAUCUGACCAGGGUACUUACAGGAACUGUUCACUCCAUCCCUCAUUUAUAUGACAUCAAUACUUCUCAAAGUUAUCUGCCAUUACAUUUCCAAGACAGUAUUGUUAAUGGAGCCAUAAAUCAGGUUAGAUAUUCACGAAGCGGUGGCAUGUUUGUAACAGCAUCCAAAGAUGGUGCUAUUCGGUUGUGGGAUGGCGUAAAUGGCAAUUGUGUCCGAUCCAUAGGUGGUGCACAUGGAACAGUGGAAGCCACAAGUGCAAACUUUACAAAGGAUCAAAGGUAUGUCCUCUCAUGUGGAAAAGACUCUUCUGUGAAGUAUUGGGA